GGUUAAGCGACUAAGCGUACACGGUGGAUGCCCUGGCAGUCAGAGGCGAUGAAGGACGUGCUAAUCUGCGAUAAGCGUCGGUAAGGUGAUAUGAACCGUUAUAACCGGCGAUUUCCGAAUGGGGAAACCCAGUGUGUUUCGACACACUAUCAUUAACUGAAUCCAUAGGUUAAUGAGGCGAACCGGGGGAACUGAAACAUCUAAGUACCCCGAGGAAAAGAAAUCAACCGAGAUUCCCCCAGUAGCGGCGAGCGAACGGGGAGCAGCCCAGAGCCUGAAUCAGUGUGUGUGUUAGUGGAAGCGUCUGGAAAGGCGCGCGAUACAGGGUGACAGCCCCGUACACAAAAAUGCACAUGCUGUGAGCUCGAUGAGUAGGGCGGGACACGUGGUAUCCUGUCUGAAUAUGGGGGGACCAUCCUCCAAGGCUAAAUACUCCUGACUGACCGAUAGUGAACCAGUACCGUGAGGGAAAGGCGAAAAGAACCCCGGCGAGGGGAGUGAAAAAGAACCUGAAACCGUGUACGUACAAGCAGUGGGAGCACGCUUAGGCGUGUGACUGCGUACCUUUUGUAUAAUGGGUCAGCGACUUAUAUUCUGUAGCAAGGUUAACCGAAUAGGGGAGCCGAAGGGAAACCGAGUCUUAACUGGGCGUUAAGUUGCAGGGUAUAGACCCGAAACCCGGUGAUCUAGCCAUGGGCAGGUUGAAGGUUGGGUAACACUAACUGGAGGACCGAACCGACUAAUGUUGAAAAAUUAGCGGAUGACUUGUGGCUGGGGGUGAAAGGCCAAUCAAACCGGGAGAUAGCUGGUUCUCCCCGAAAGCUAUUUAGGUAGCGCCUCGUGAAUUCAUCUCCGGGGGUAGAGCACUGUUUCGGCAAGGGGGUCAUCCCGACUUACCAACCCGAUGCAAACUGCGAAUACCGGAGAAUGUUAUCACGGGAGACACACGGCGGGUGCUAACGUCCGUCGUGAAGAGGGAAACAACCCAGACCGCCAGCUAAGGUCCCAAAGUCAUGGUUAAGUGGGAAACGAUGUGGGAAGGCCCAGACAGCCAGGAUGUUGGCUUAGAAGCAGCCAUCAUUUAAAGAAAGCGUAAUAGCUCACUGGUCGAGUCGGCCUGCGCGGAAGAUGUAACGGGGCUAAACCAUGCACCGAAGCUGCGGCAGCGACACUAUGUGUUGUUGGGUAGGGGAGCGUUCUGUAAGCCUGUGAAGGUGUACUGUGAGGUAUGCUGGAGGUAUCAGAAGUGCGAAUGCUGACAUAAGUAACGAUAAAGCGGGUGAAAAGCCCGCUCGCCGGAAGACCAAGGGUUCCUGUCCAACGUUAAUCGGGGCAGGGUGAGUCGACCCCUAAGGCGAGGCCGAAAGGCGUAGUCGAUGGGAAACAGGUUAAUAUUCCUGUACUUGGUGUUACUGCGAAGGGGGGACGGAGAAGGCUAUGUUGGCCGGGCGACGGUUGUCCCGGUUUAAGCGUGUAGGCUGGUUUUCCAGGCAAAUCCGGAAAAUCAAGGCUGAGGCGUGAUGACGAGGCACUACGGUGCUGAAGCAACAAAUGCCCUGCUUCCAGGAAAAGCCUCUAAGCAUCAGGUAACAUCAAAUCGUACCCCAAACCGACACAGGUGGUCAGGUAGAGAAUACCAAGGCGCUUGAGAGAACUCGGGUGAAGGAACUAGGCAAAAUGGUGCCGUAACUUCGGGAGAAGGCACGCUGAUAUGUAGGUGAAGUCCCUCGCGGAUGGAGCUGAAAUCAGUCGAAGAUACCAGCUGGCUGCAACUGUUUAUUAAAAACACAGCACUGUGCAAACACGAAAGUGGACGUAUACGGUGUGACGCCUGCCCGGUGCCGGAAGGUUAAUUGAUGGGGUUAGCCGCAAGGCGAAGCUCUUGAUCGAAGCCCCGGUAAACGGCGGCCGUAACUAUAACGGUCCUAAGGUAGCGAAAUUCCUUGUCGGGUAAGUUCCGACCUGCACGAAUGGCGUAAUGAUGGCCAGGCUGUCUCCACCCGAGACUCAGUGAAAUUGAACUCGCUGUGAAGAUGCAGUGUACCCGCGGCAAGACGGAAAGACCCCGUGAACCUUUACUAUAGCUUGACACUGAACAUUGAGCCUUGAUGUGUAGGAUAGGUGGGAGGCUUUGAAGUGUGGACGCCAGUCUGCAUGGAGCCGACCUUGAAAUACCACCCUUUAAUGUUUGAUGUUCUAACGUUGACCCGUAAUCCGGGUUGCGGACAGUGUCUGGUGGGUAGUUUGACUGGGGCGGUCUCCUCCUAAAGAGUAACGGAGGAGCACGAAGGUUGGCUAAUCCUGGUCGGACAUCAGGAGGUUAGUGCAAUGGCAUAAGCCAGCUUGACUGCGAGCGUGACGGCGCGAGCAGGUGCGAAAGCAGGUCAUAGUGAUCCGGUGGUUCUGAAUGGAAGGGCCAUCGCUCAACGGAUAAAAGGUACUCCGGGGAUAACAGGCUGAUACCGCCCAAGAGUUCAUAUCGACGGCGGUGUUUGGCACCUCGAUGUCGGCUCAUCACAUCCUGGGGCUGAAGUAGGUCCCAAGGGUAUGGCUGUUCGCCAUUUAAAGUGGUACGCGAGCUGGGUUUAGAACGUCGUGAGACAGUUCGGUCCCUAUCUGCCGUGGGCGCUGGAGAACUGAGGGGGGCUGCUCCUAGUACGAGAGGACCGGAGUGGACGCAUCACUGGUGUUCGGGUUGUCAUGCCAAUGGCACUGCCCGGUAGCUAAAUGCGGAAGAGAUAAGUGCUGAAAGCAUCUAAGCACGAAACUUGCCCCGAGAUGAGUUCUCCCUGACCCUUUAAGGGUCCUGAAGGAACGUUGAAGACGACGACGUUGAUAGGCCGGGUGUGUAAGCGCAGCGAUGCGUUGAGCUAACCGGUACUAAUGAACCGUGAGGCUUAACCUU
rnacentral:rRNA from 1 species